rnacentral:lncRNA from 1 species
CAGUUGUAAAAUUCUAGGAAGGGCCUAAUGUAUUUUGAAGACUCAGUAAGGCCUUUUUCAAGGAUGAGUGAGUUUUCACACGUAUUUAGAAGGCUGAGUUACCUGUGCUGAUCACACAACCUCAGUUUUCAGAUGUAUCAUUUUAGUCUAAUAUCCAAAUGUAUUAUAAAAAUAAUUUACAAAGUAAUAAUCUUUUUAAAGUGUUUGAGGAGCCUGAAGAGCCUAUUCCAGAAGAGGAGAUCCCAGAGGAACCACCUAUCGUAGAGGAGGUUGAGGAGGUGGCGCCACCUAGAGUGCCUGAAGUGGUUAAGAAAGCAGUACCUGAAGCACCUACUCCUGUUCCUAAAAAAGUGGAGGCACCACCAGCUAAAGGUAUAGCAGAUCCUUUUACUAAAGAUAAUAUUUUUAAAUUCUUAUCCAUCUUCUUUUAAAAAACAAAAGUAUCUUCUUUCACUGCAUUCUUAGAGUCAUUUAAAUAGAGAGCUUAUGAAAUUAAUUAAAAACCUGUAAAAAUAUAAUUC